UCCCCCUCACCAAUUCCUCAUCCCAUAUUGAUUUCUGAUUGAAUCAAUUAGUAACAAGUGAAAAUGGAGGCUUUUGCAUUUGACUUCCUCACCUUUUCCAAAGCUUCCACUCUCAAAUUUGCCUGUCAUCCCCAGGACAUAUUAGUUGAAUAUGAAGUUCAAGUUACCUGUACUGGGCUGUAACUAUCACAGAAUUCCCCAGAACAGCCAGGGUCGAGUUAGCUGUUUAUUGUAUCUCGGUGGCAUGAGGUGAUCUGGUUCAGUCCUCCCCUUUCAUCAUCGAUUUAGCUCCUCUUACCUUCACUUUUCACACCCUUCUCCUGUAUUGUAUUUUAAAUUUUUAUUACUUUUUCUUGAGUACUCGAUUGUAGGCUUGUUUUCAUCAUUCAGUACCUAUCACUAUAUUAAACAUAGGCACUGACUAAAUGGUUUUUGAUCAAAUGAGUUGCUGUGUCUGAAGAAAACAGGACUUUUAUUGACAUAUCAUGAAGCUAUGACUUAAUUGUUAAUAGUCACUAUAACCAUAAUAAUUGUGUUAGCUAGCUGGAGGGGGAUACGUUACUUAGAGGACCCAGAGACAGAAAUGCCAAAGAUUUGUGUUUGCCUCUCGUUGGAAGAAAGUGGAUAGUGAAUAGGGACAGCAAAAUCUGCCUGGCAGAAAAUGAGACUUCUUAAAUAGAGAGGUGAUUUCUGUUGUGAAGUAGGAGUAAUAGGCUUGUUACCAAGCUCUAGAUGAAAUAUCACUUAAAGUUAGUGUUUCUUAUAUUUUUCAGUUAUAUAGUGCCUUUGAGAAUUUGGUAAAAGCUAUGGAGUUUGUCCCCAGAAAAUUCAUGUGCAUGUAAACGUACCUUCUUUGGUACAAUUUGUCAACCUUGACUCUAUUUACAUUUUAAACUGGAUAAUUCUUUGUUAUGGGGGACUGUCAUGAGGAGAGCAGAAUGUUCAGUAACAUCCCUGUCCUCUACAACAUCCCCAUCCUCUGAGGCCAGUAGCACCUCAUCUCCAGUUGUGAGAAGUAAAAAUGUCUCUAGACUUUGCCAAUUAUCCUCUGGUGGUCAAGUUCUCCCCUGAUUGAGCACCAUUACCUGGAGAAAUGGCAUAAUGGUAGCUUAUAUGAUGCUUAGGGCAUUUGAAAUACGAAGGAAAAAAAGGAAUGGAUAAGAUUCAACAUCUGUGAAGUGACAAACAGUAAAUGAAAGAUGGAUGAAUUAGCAUUACUACCAGCUGGUGUCCCACUUAUGUUAUAGAAAUGUGACAGCAACUGGGAUAUGAACUCCUUAGAAGGAGCUUUAUUCUCAUUUUUGGUUUUAAUUGUGAAUGCUACAGUACUUCUGACUGUUUUUCUUCUUCUGCCUUUAGACACUCUAGCUUACUAUGCAAUGAGCAUGUGCCUCUUUGCUAUCCAAAAUUUCUAUCCAAAUUUCAAACAGAUUAAAGUGCUUUCUAACGACUUGAAAGGCUUGUUUAUUUGUAUUCAUGUAGGAUUUUUCAGGGGUGAAAGAGCUGGUGGUUAAUCAGUAUAUUGUUUCUCAGAUAAGCUUAGAUUAUUCUUAAUCAUUUCCCCCAGUUCAUCUAUGGCAUGUAGGUUAAUAUUUAAAGGUAGCAAUGUGCUUGACUCAGGGGUUCAUUAGGAAACAAGAGGCCCCUACUAAAUAAGGAUUCCUCUGGUUUAUUGCUCUUGUAAUGCUCUAUACUUUUCACCCUUAGUACUUAAUGCUUUAUUGUAACACAAUCUAUUGUAAAUGUAUCCAUCAUAUACACACAGACGUACAUAAAUGUGUAUGUAAUACACAUGUAAAUGUUUCUGUGUAUAUGCAUUUGUAGAAUACAUAUAAAUAUCUUUUUAUUUGAUACUUAAAAUAUUAACAAUUAGUAAUACAUAAUGCUGACUUCUACAGGCACUGUUAACAUAUGUUUUACAUAUUUUGACUCAUUUAAUCUUCUCAAGUACUUUUAGGUAACAAAGGUACAAAAUGACUACUAGGUAAGUUACCCAAGAAUAUAUAGAUAGUAAGUGAAAAGCUAAGAUUUGACCUCUUGCAGCCAGAUUCCAGAAGUUGGGCCAUGGUUUUACAGUGUAGGUGCUGUAUCUAUUCUUUUCACUCCUAGGUAGCCAGCAUUAGCAUAGUAGCUGGCAUGAUAGACAUCCAAGAAAUACUUGUUGAAUAUCUAGGUGCCUGGAUGAUCCCACCAAAGUAGGUUAGGGGCCCUCCCAAGUGUCAUAGAGCAAGCUGUACUUCCCCUUGCUGGACCACUUGCCUGUUUGUCUAGCUACAAUCCCAUAGACUGUGUGUUUUCUGAGGUCCUAAAUGUCUUGCUAACCAACAUCAGGUACAGUGCUUGGCAUAGAGUAGGCAGUCAAUAAGUAUCCAUAAAUGGAUGAAGUUGGAAGUUGUAGGUCAUGAGCGAAUUACCAGUAUCAAUGACUUAGUGAAGCCAGUGUUUGGAAAUGAGUACUCCUGCCUUCCAGUUAAAGAUGGGCUUGAAUGCAUACAUUUACUUCUAUCCCUUGAAAUCUUACUAAAAACAACAAUAAAGAAGGUUAUAAAGAAUCAAAUGCACAAAAACAAAACACAAGACUACCUAGCAGAAUUAGGAAGAGUAAGUGGACAAGUGAUAAAUGACUUAGAAGAGGAGAGGCUUUCUGGAUGGGGAGGACACUGAACACAGGUAGGGCUAGGGAUUCCCUGCUGCAAACAGGAGGAAGAAGUGAAAAUGUGAACUGAACAUUGAGGGACCUUUCCCCUUCUUCCCCCUCUCAGCUCAGAAUUAGAGUGGCAAUCUUAAGCCUCCAGUCAGAAGACUGGAAGAGUUUUUCUUGGGGGAAAGGAAAAACCCAAGAGAAAUAUCUAAAUAUGCUGAUAUCAGGGUCAAGAGGUUCCCUAAUAUAAUGGCACAGCAAUGAAUUCCUCUCACAUGCACAAAUCUUCUGAUCAAAUGUUUUGUGCCCUGGUCUUACAUUGGAGCAGACAGCCAAGGCUAGGUAGACAUUUAGAAAGUCCUUGUAUAUGAAACACAGAGACCCCCCAAACUAGUAAAUGAGAAAAGACAACUGAGGAAACAGAAUCUGCUGGGAGAAGAAAACUUCAACAGAACCAUCCGUGAAAUACCUUAAAGAGACCAUGUGGUACAUAGAGAAAUGCCUUCAAAGUUCAUGGGGAUUUCCAGCCUAGAGUUCUCUGCAUAGCCAAGUUAUCAAUUAAGAGUAGAAUAAAGACAACUUCAGACAUACGAGAUAACAAACUGUUUACCUCUUAUGUUUACCUUUCCUCACCAAGUCCAUUGGUGGAUGUACUCUACCAAAGUAAGGGAGUAGCAAAUCAGGGACUGCGAGAUUCAGGAAAUAGGAAAUUUCAGCCAAAGGAGAGAUGAAGGAAAUAAGAAGAGAAUGAAGAUUCCCAAAUGGCAGCUUAUAGAAGUCGAAGGAUCAGUCUGAAUAGUUUGUUGAGGGAGAAAUUUCAAGUUAUUGAAAUCAGUAGACUAUGUCAGAGUGGAAAUUCAUAGAGAGGUAUCACAACUUGGGUUGAAUUCAUAAUUAAAAACAUUGAAAAAAAAGCAAAGAGUAAAAUGAUUAUCAACUUUGGGGAGAUUAAAAAUUGUGCAAGAAAGGUUAUUUAAGUGUUGUGAAUUACUCUGCAGUGAAUAGCAUUUACAUAGUAGUAAUGCAAAUAUGGAUUUAAUCACAAUUACAUGGGGGAAUGCAAUGUCUGUAUAUGUGAUGUGGCCAAGUGGAGAGAAUGGGUAGAGCUAAAUUCUCACCUAUCACACUGCAAAGUCCAGAGAUAAUGCCUAAAGUGUUUAGCUUUCAAGAUGUAGUUGUAUAAGAAUGUUAUUUAAGGAUGUAUAUGUAUAUACCCAAAGAAUUGACUUAAAGAAUUGUAAUAUCUGUGACUGAAAAGAGAAUUUGGUAAGUAUGAAACUGCUGUUUUGCAUAAUUAGUUUUUUAGGACUACAUUUUUAAAGUAUGUGCAUGUAUUAUAACUGUGAUGAAACAAAAACUAAAUGAAUGAAAUCAUUUUUAUUUCUAGUAAUUUUUUAAUCAUGUUUACUUCCAGGAGCACAUACAUUUAGAGCUCUGUGCUUCAGGAAGAUGAAUGAAUAAGUCCAGGUAUUGUUAACACCCAUGGCAACUCCCUGCAAUUAGAACCUCUACUUCUCAUUCCAGAGCCUGACCUAGACUUUCCAGUUGCCCUGGCUUCAUCUUCCUGACCAAAAGUUAGUGCUCCUCACAUGCCCCAGUGUGGUAUGGUGUGCCAUCUCCUCUUUGGAUAUCUAAAGUUUGCACAAAGAGGUACACAGACAUCUCAAAAGUACCAGUGGGGCAUGACAAGCACGGCGCAGCUUUUCCUCUCUGAACCCACCCGGCCGCGAAGGAUUUCCCUCACCUUACCACCCCCUUCCUUCUGAGGCCGAGCUGGGUGAGCUCUUGGUGAUGGGUGACAGCCACUGGUCUCUGUUUACUGGGCCAGCGCGCUCCCACAGCGCCUCUGCAGGGACCUGAGGCUUCUGGAUCAGAUCAAACAGGAACCCCUGCUCUCCACUCUGAAUGUCCGUCCUAAAAGGAGCUGCUCCUAUUGCUACAAAACAGCCGGAACCUGCCACGCAUUAGCAGAGGAUAGUUCUAGAUAGGGAUUUUUUUCCCCUGAAAUAUGACCAUUUAAUUCCUGAAAUUCAUAGUUUGUAGCCAUUUUAAAAAGGGACCACUCAAUGAUAUGUGCUCCUUGCUCUGCCUUAGUGAAGACUGGGAUAGAGCACAGGUUAAAGGUCUUUUAAUUUAGGAUUGCUGUGAGACAUCAUACUCUGCCCAUGGAGGAAACAGACUGUCUUUUCCCUGAAUUCCACCAGACUUCCUCCCAGGCAGCCAUCUUUGUCCCUGCUUCUAGUUUAAUAGUUUAAUAUCAGACAUUUAAGAGUUAAAUUUAGUAGUUUUACUUUUGCACCAUUCUCCCUCUAGUAGCCUUUCUAUAACCCCAGAUAGUCACAAAAUGAGCACUUUUAGAGCUAGAAGGAAAUCGGAGACUGCUGUCUUUGAUUAUCACUGAGGGCAAAACUGUAGGUUGCCAUGGAAACCAGAUAAUCCAGUAUGCUUUAUAACACCAAAUCAAAAUCACUCUCUGGACAUUUGAAGGAUGUCCACAGUGGCCAUUGUUGUAGCUAGGAUCUUUAAAAUGUAUUCACACCUUAUUUUUAUAGUGACUAUUAAUCUGGAACCAGUCCAGAGGAAGAAAAGACUAAUGCACCCAGAUUCUACCCCAUCUACAGCCAGAGUGUCAUAGGGUUUGGAACUACCUCAGGCUUCUGGGCAACUGAGUCCACGUUGGAUGCAGCCAUUGGUUGCACUGGACAUUAGGAGGCAUAUGGCAUAGUUCGAGCCAAAAAUUGGGGAAUCAUGAGGAGAACAGAAGAGCAUCAAAUUUUGCUAGAUCUUCCAAAGUGAGAUUCACAGGUUUGGUGACUGGUUUCUGGAACACAGGAGGUAAAGUAGAGGGGCAGUCCUAAAUAAAUCAGCUCUCUAACUUGGGUGUGACACAAGGCAAGAUUCUGAACAUUCAGAUUGGCACUAUUUUGAAAGUGAAGAUAGCAGGCCUCUCUUUGAACACCUAUUUGAGAGGACUUGUAGAGGAAAUACGGUCAUCCCUGGCU